GGUGACAGCGGAGGGAUCAUUACAGAGUUCUCGCGACUCCCAUCAACCCCUUGUGAACAUACCCUAUUGUUGCCUCGGCGGCGGUACUCGUGACCCCGCCGGCGGCCCCUUACCAACAAACCCUGUCAGUACAACUUGAAUUCUGAACUUAUAACCAACAAUACGUUAAAACUUUCAACAACGGAUCUCUUGGUUCUGGCAUCGAUGAAGAACGCAGCGAAAUGCGAUACGUAAUGUGAAUUGCAGAAUUCAGUGAAUCAUCGAAUCUUUGAACGCAUAUUGCGCCCGCUGGUAUUCCAGCGGGCAUGCCUGUUCGAGCGUCAUUUCAACCCUUAAGCCCUCGCCGCUUAGCGUUGGGAGCCUAACCCGCCGUUGCGCGGGUUAGCUCCCCAAAGUCAGUGGCGGAGCCAGCCCGUGCUCUAGGCGUAGUAGAUUUCUCAUCUCGCCUCUGUAGCCGCGGCGCGGCCUCCCCGCCGUAAAACACCCACACUUUUUUUUUAAUGGUUGACCUCGGAUCAGGUAGGAAUACCCGCUGAACUUAAGCAUAUCAUAG
rnacentral:rRNA from 1 species